rnacentral:rRNA from 1 species
GCUUAACACAUGCAAGUCGAACGAUGAAGCCCUUCGGGGUGGAUUAGUGGCGAACGGGUGAGUAACACGUGGGCAAUCUGCCCUUCACUCUGGGACAAGCCCUGGAAACGGGGUCUAAUACCGGAUAACACUCUGUCCCGCAUGGGACGGGGUUGAAAGCUCCGGCGGUGAAGGAUGAGCCCGCGGCCUAUCAGCUUGUUGGUGGGGUAAUGGCCUACCAAGGCGACGACGGGUAGCCGGCCUGAGAGGGCGACCGGCCACACUGGGACUGAGACACGGCCCAGACUCCUACGGGAGGCAGCAGUGGGGAAUAUUGCACAAUGGGCGAAAGCCUGAUGCAGCGACGCCGCGUGAGGGAUGACGGCCUUCGGGUUGUAAACCUCUUUCAGCAGGGAAGAAGCGAAAGUGACGGUACCUGCAGAAGAAGCGCCGGCUAACUACGUGCCAGCAGCC